GAGACGAGACGAGGGAGGCGGAACAAGUGAAGUAGCGGUGAAAUGCUUAGAUAUCACUUGGAACCCCGAUAGCGAAGGCAGCUUCCCAGGCUCGAUCUGACGCUGAUGCGCGAGAGCGUGGGUAGCGAACAGGAUUAGAUACCCUGGUAGUCCACGCCGUAAACGAUGCUCACUGGAUCUUGGCGAUACACUGCCAGGGUUCAAGCGAAAGUAUUAAGUGAGCCACCUGGGGAGUACGUCGGCAACGAUGAAACUCAAAGGAAUUGACGGGGGCCCGCACAAGCGGAGGAACAUGUGGUUUAAUUCGAUGAUACGCGAGGAACCUUACCCGGGUUUAAAUGUAUUUUGCAUUUCUUGGAAACAGGAAUUCCCUUCGGGGCUAGAUACAAGGUGCUGCAUGGUUGUCGUCAGCUCGUGCCGUGAGGUGUCGGGUUAAGUCCCAUAACGAGCGCAACCCCUAUCGCCAGUUGCCAUCGGUUGAAGCCGGGCACUCUGUCGAGACUGCCACCGUAAGGUGCGAGGAAGGCGGGGAUGACGUCAAAUCAGCACGGCCCUUACACCCGGGGCGACACACGUGUUACAAUGGCCGGUACAGAGGGCAGCCACGGGGUGACCCGGAGCGAAUCUCUAAAGCCGGUCGUAGUUCGGACUGGAGUCUGCAACCCGACUCCACGAAGUUGGAUUCGCUAGUAAUCGCGCAUCAGCCAUGGCGCGGUGAAUACGUUCCCGGGCCUUGUACACACCGCCCGUCAAGCCAUGGAAGCCGGGAGUACCUGAAGAUCGUGACCGCGAGGAACGGGCUAGGGUAAUACCGGUAACUGGGGCUAAGUCGUAACAAGGUAGCCGUACCGGAAGGUGCGGCUGGAACACCUCCUUUCUGGAG
rnacentral:rRNA from 1 species